rnacentral:rRNA from 1 species
UUGAAAGGGAAACGAUUGAAGUCAGUCGUACCGACGGAAAAUCAGCUCUUCGAGCGCGGACUCGUGGGCGUACGUGAGCUUUAACCGGCCUCGUUGUUUGCUUGUUUGUGCUUUUUGGGUGUACUUUUUCGUAUGGUAGGCCAACGUCAGUUUUGAUCACCAUAAAAUGAUCGGAGGAAUGUAGCUUCAAUCUUGUAUUGAAGUGUUAUAGCCUUUGGUAGAUGUGGUGACUGAGACUGAGGAUUGCAACGAAUACCCUUUGGGCUAUCCGUCUGACCUCUGAAAGUUGCUUAGGUGUCGAAAGCUUGCUUACGGUCAUCUAUGACGACGGUCAAAAGGUUAGAACGUGAUUAUAUUCGUUAAGGAUGUUGACGUA